UAGUCUCAGUUCAGAUUGUACUCUGCAACUCGAGUACAUGAAGUUGGAAUCGCUAGUAAUCGCGGAUCAGCAUGCCGCGGUGAAUACGUUCCCGGGUCUUGUACACACCGCCCGUCACGCCAUGGGAGUUUGUUCUGCCUGACGGCGUUGAGCUAACCUAGCAAUAGGAGGCUGGCGACCACGGUAGGGUAAGCGACUGGGGCGAAGUCGUAACAAGGUAAC
rnacentral:rRNA from 1 species